UUGAACGCUGGCGGCAUGCUUUACACAUGCAAGUCGAACGGUAACAGCACUUCGGUGGCUGACGAGUGGCGAACGGGUGAGUAAUACAUCGGAACGUGCCUAGUAGUGGGGGAUAACUACUCGAAAGAGUAGCUAAUACCGCAUGAGAUCUAAGGAUGAAAGCAGGGGACCUUCGGGCCUUGCGCUACUAGAGCGGCUGAUGGCAGAUUAGGUAGUUGGUGGGAUAAAAGCUUACCAAGCCGACGAUCUGUAGCUGGUCUGAGAGGACGACCAGUCACACUGGGACUGAGACACGGCCCAGACUCCUACGGGAGGCAGCAGUGGGGAAUUUUGGACAAAGGGCGCAAGCCUGAUCCAGCAAUGCCGCGUGCAGGAUGAAGGCCUUCGGGUUGUAAACUGCUUUUGUACGGAACGAAAAGCCCUCUUCUAAUACAGGAGGGUCAUGACGGUACCGUAAGAAUAAGCACCGGCUAACUACGUG
rnacentral:rRNA from 1 species